rnacentral:rRNA from 1 species
GGAUGAACGCUGGCGGCGUGCCUAAUACAUGCAAGUCGAGCGAACGGGCGAGAAGCUUGCUUCUCUGAUGUUAGCGGCGGACGGGUGAGUAACACGUGGAUAACCUACCUAUAAGACUGGGAUAACUUCGGGAAACCGUAGCUAAUACCGGAUAAUAUUUUGAACCGCAUGGUUCAAAAGUGAAAGACGGUCUUGCUGUCACUUAUAGAUGGAUCCGCGCUGCAUUAGCUAGUUGGUAAGGUAACGGCUUACCAAGGCAACGAUGCAUAGCCGACCUGAGAGGGUGAUCGGCCACACUGGAACUGAGACACGGUCCAGACUCCUACGGGAGGCAGCAGUAGGGAAUCUUCCGCAAUGGGCGAAAGCCUGACGGAGCAACGCCGCGUGAGUGAUGAAGGUCUUCGGAUCGUAAAACUCUGUUAUUAGGGAAGAACAUAUGUGUAAGUAACUGUGCACAUCUUGACGGUACCUAAUCAGAAAGCCACGGCUAACUACGUG